CUACGGAGGGUGCAAGCGUUACUCGGAAUCACUGGGCGUAAAGCGCGCGCAGGCGGGCUGAUAAGUUGGAUGUGAAAGCCUACGGCUCAACCGUAGAACUGCAUCCAAAACUGUCAGUCUAGAGUCUGGGAGGGGAAGAUGGAAUUAGUUGUGUAGGGGUAAAAUCCGUAGAGAUAACUAGGAAUACCAAAAGCGAAGGCGAUCUUCUGGAACAGUACUGACGCUGAGGCGCGAAAGCGUGGGGAGCAAACAGGAGUAGAAACCCUAGUAGUCC
rnacentral:rRNA from 1 species